UCUUCAUGUAUUAAUUUAAUAGACUUUUUAGCAUGGCACGUGUCUGUAAAUUAGUUAUGGAUAUUACAUUUUAGUUCUGUGGCUUUUAUAGUAAAAAGAAAGAUAUGAAUAUAUUUGCUUUUUUAAAAUCCUCUGGAGAAUGACUGGUAAAAAAACACCAGCUGUAGUUAAUCUAAAUGAUGUGCAACCAAGACACCAGCAACUAACACGACAUCUGUUUAAAUGCUUUCAUGCUAAUACACUCCUCUCAAAUGGCGUCUUUGUUAGUGCGUCAAAGAUUAUUUACGGAAUGAGUCAAUUGCUAAAUGGUUUCAUGAUUGUUGAGCGGAAUCGCCGUAGGAGGCGGUUAGGACUAUUGGAGGCUGUGAGGUCGAGCUCUGGCGCGCAGCGGGGCUCCAGUAGGAGCGGCGCUAAUUGAGGAGGCAGAGUCGAGGCGGGCCAGUAGAACACGGGAGAGCGAAGAGCUGGGGCAGGGCACGGUUCUUGGAGCUUAGCGUAUUGUUCAGAUGUAUAAAAUAUGA